GACGAACGCUGGCGGCGUGCUUAACACAUGCAAGUCGAACGGAAAGGCCUCUUUCGGGGGGUACUCGAGUGGCGAACGGGUGAGUAACACGUGAGUAACCUGCCCUUGACUUUGGGAUAACUUCAGGAAACUGGGGCUAAUACCGGAUAGGAGCUCCUGCUGCAUGGUGGGGGUUGGAGAGUUUCGGCGGUUGGGGAUGGACUCGCGGCUUAUCAGCUUGUUGGUGGGGUAGUGGCUUACCAAGGGUUUGACGGGUAGGCGGGCUGAGAGGGUGACCGGCCACAUUGGGACUGAGAUACGGCCCAGACUCCUACGGGGGGCAGCAGUGGGGAAGAAUGCACAAUGGGUGGAAGCCUGAUGCAGCAACGCCGGGUGCGGGAUGACGGCCUUCGGGUUGGAAACCGCUUUCGCUCAUGACGAAGCUUUGUGUGACGGUAGUGGGUAAAGAAGCACCGGCUAACUACGUG
rnacentral:rRNA from 1 species